AGAGGUUGCUUUUGGCUCAGGAUGAACGCUAGCGACAGGCUUAACACAUGCAAGUCGAGGGGCAGCACAGGUAGCAAUACCGGGUGGCGACCGGCGCACGGGUGAGUAACGCGUAUGCAACUUACCUAUCAGAGGGGGAUAACCCGGCGAAAGUCGGACUAAUACCGCAUGAAGCAGGGGCCCCGCAUGGGGAUAUUUGCUAAAGAUUCAUCGCUGAUAGAUAGGCAUGCGUUCCAUUAGGCAGUUGGCGGGGUAACGGCCCACCAAACCGACGAUGGAUAGGGGUUCUGAGAGGAAGGUCCCCCACAUUGGUACUGAGACACGGACCAAACUCCUACGGGAGGCAGCAGUGAGGAAUAUUGGUCAAUGGCCGAGAGGCUGAACCAGCCAAGUCGCGUGAGGGAUGAAGGUUCUAUGGAUCGUAAACCUCUUUUAUAAGGGAAUAAAGUGCGGGACGUGUCCCGUUUUGUAUGUACCUUAUGAAUAAGGAUCGGCUAACUCCGUGCCAGCAGCCGCGGUAAUACGGAGGAUCCGAGCGUUAUCCGGAUUUAUUGGGUUUAAAGGGUGCGUAGGCGGCCUUUUAAGUCAGCGGUGAAAGUCUGUGGCUCAACCAUAGAAUUGCCGUUGAAACUGGGGGGCUUGAGUAUGUUUGAGGCAGGCGGAAUGCGUGGUGUAGCGGUGAAAUGCAUAGAUAUCACGCAGAACCCCGAUUGCGAAGGCAGCCUGCCAAGCCAUGACUGACGCUGAUGCACGAAAGCGUGGGGAUCAAAGAGGAUUAGAUACCCUGGUAGUCCACGCAGUAAACGAUGAUCACUAGCUGUUUGCGAUACACUGUAAGCGGCACAGCGAAAGCGUUAAGUGAUCCACCUGGGGAGUACGCCGGCAACGGUGAAACUCAAAGGAAUUGACGGGGGCCCGCACAAGCGGAGGAACAUGUGGUUUAAUUCGAUGAUACGCGAGGAACCUUACCCGGGUUUGAACGCAUUCGGACCGAGGUGGAAACACCUUUUCUAGCAAUAGCCGUUUGCGAGGUGCUGCAUGGUUGUCGUCAGCUCGUGCCGUGAGGUGUCGGCUUAAGUGCCAUAACGAGCGCAACCCUUGCCACUAGUUACUAACAGGUAAAGCUGAGGACUCUGGUGGGACUGCCAGCGUAAGCUGCGAGGAAGGCGGGGAGGACGUCAAAUCAGCACGGCCCUUACAUCCGGGGCGACACACGUGUUACAAUGGCGUGGACAAAGGGAGGCCACCUGGUGACAGGGAGCGAAUCCCCAAACCACGUCUCAGUUCGGAUCGGAGUCUGCAACCCGACUCCGUGAAGCUGGAUUCGCUAGUAAUCGCGCAUCAGCCAUGGCGCGGUGAAUAAAAAGCCGGGCCUUGCACU
rnacentral:rRNA from 1 species